GGAUGAGUAGCUUAAUUUAUAAAGCAUAGUACUGAAACUGCUAAGUCUGGGUUAACCCACUCCCCCA
rnacentral:tRNA from 1 species